rnacentral:tRNA from 1 species
GGUAUAGCUCAGUUGGUAGAGCACCUGGUUGUGGUCCAGGGGGUCGCGGGUUCAAGUCCCGUUAC